GAUGAACGCUGACAGAAUGCUUAACACAUGCAAGUCGACUUGUGGCGGACGGGUGAGUAACGCGUAAAGACCUUGCCUCACGGAUAGGGACAACAUUAGGCAACGAAUGCUACUACCUGAUACUGUGAAAGAGCUGUGCGUCCCAUUAGCUAGGUGGAGAGGUAACGGCUCACCAAGGAUAUGAUGGGUGGCCGGCCUGAGAGGGUGAUCGGACACAAGGGGACUGAGACACGGCCCUUAUGCAGUCUGGAGGCAGCAGUGGGGAAUAUGGGACAAUGGACCAAAGUCUGAUCCAGCAAUGCUGUGUGCACGAUGAAGUUUUCGGAAAGUAAAGUGCUUUCAGUUGGGAAGCGGGACCAACAGAAGAAGUGACGGCUAAAUACGUGCCAGCAGCCGCGGUAAUUC
rnacentral:rRNA from 1 species